UUCAGCCGCCGCGGUAAUACGGGAGUGGCAAGCGUUAUCCGGAAUUAUUGGGCGUAAAGCGUCCGCAGGCGGCCUUGWAAGUCUGKCGUKAAAKCGUGGAGCUUAACUCCAUUUCGGCGGUGGAAACURCAAGGCUUGAGUGUGGUAGGGGCAGAGGGAAUUCCCGGUGUAGCGGUGAAAUGCGUAGAUAUCGGGAAGAACACCAGUGGCGAAGGCGCUCUGCUGGGCCAUAACUGACGCUCAUGGACGAAAGCUAGGGGAGCGAAAGGGAUUAGAUACCCCUGUAGUCCUAGCCGUAAACGAUGAACACUAGGUGUCGGGGGAAUCGACCCCCUCGGUGUCGUAGCUAACGCGUUAAGUGUUCCGCCUGGGGAGUACGCACGCAAGUGUGAAACUCAAAGGAAUUGGCGGGGGAGCACA
rnacentral:rRNA from 1 species